rnacentral:tRNA from 1 species
ACCUGACUGGUUCAAUUGGUAGAGCAUGUGAGUCUUGAUCUCAGGGGCAUGAGUUCAAGCCCCAUGUUGGGCA